UACGAAGGGGGGCUAGCGUUGCUCGGAAUGACUGGGCGUAAAGGGCGCGUAGGCGGCUUGUAGAGUCGGGUGUGAAAUUCCUGGGCUUAACCUGGGGGGCUGCAUUCGAUACGUAUGGGCUUGAGUGCGGAAGAGGGUCGUGGAAUUCCCAGUGUAGAGGUGAAUUCGUAGAUAUUGGGAAGAACACCGGUGGCGAAGGCGGCGACCUGGUCCGUGACUGGCUGAGGCGCGAAAGCGUGGGGAGCAAACAGG
rnacentral:rRNA from 1 species